rnacentral:rRNA from 1 species
GAUGAACGCUGGCGGCGUGCCUAAUACAUGCAAGUCGAGCGAACAGACGAGGAGCUUGCUCCUCUGACGUUAGCGGCGGACGGGUGAGUAACACGUGGAUAACCUACCUAUAAGACUGGGAUAACUUCGGGAAACCGGAGCUAAUACCGGAUAAUAUAUUGAACCGCAUGGUUCAAUAGUGAAAGACGGUUUUGCUGUCACUUAUAGAUGGAUCCGCGCCGCAUUAGCUAGUUGGUAAGGUAACGGCUUACCAAGGCAACGAUGCGUAGCCGACCUGAGGGGGGGGGUGGGCCAACGGGAAACGGACACACGUCCCAGCCUCUGGGGGGAGGCAGGAGGGGGGAAUCUUCCGAACGGGGCGAAAGCGGGCCGGAGACACGGCGGGAGAGAGAAAAAGGUUUGCGGAUCGUAAAACUCUUUUAUAGGGGAAGAAAAAAUUUGAAAGUAACUAUGACGGUUUGGAGGGAACCUAUAAAAAAGGCCCGGGCAAACUCGGG